AAAGUUUGCCGGCAGUGCCUAAACAUGCAGUCGACGGAUCAUAUUGAAGUAGCAAUACGGAGAUAUGAGUUAGUGGCGGACGGGUGAGUAACACGUAGGUAACCUACCCUUAAGCGGGGGACAACUCAGGGAAACUUGAGCUAAUACCGCAUAAGACCACGGGCUGAGAUGCCAGUGGGAAAAGGAGCAAUCCACUUAAGGAUGGGCCUGCGGCCUAUCAGGUAGUUGGUGAGGUAACGGCCCACCAAGCCAGAGACGGGUAGCCGGACUGAGAGGUUGAACGGUCACACUGGAACUGAGAUACGGUCCAGACUCCUACGGGAGGCAGCAGUGGGGAAUAUUGCACAAUGGGGGAAACCCUGAUGCAGCGACGCCGCGUGGAGGAUGAAGGCCUUCGGGUUGUAAACUCCUUUUGUAGGGGAAGAUAAUGACGGUACCCUGCGAAUAAGCCACGGCUAACUCUGUGCCAGCAGCCGCGGUAAGACAGAGGUGGCGAGCGUUGUUCGGAAUUACUGGGCUUAAAGGGCGAGUAGGCGGUGGAGCAAGUCUGAGGUGGAAUCCUACGGCUUAACCGUAGAACUGCCUUAGAAACUGUUUUACUUGAGUCAAUGAGGGGAGGGCGGAAUUCCUGGUGUAGCGGUGAAAUGCGUAGAUAUCAGGAGGAAGGCCUGUGGCGAAAGUGGCCCUCUGGCAUUGUACUGACGCUGAGGCGCGAAAGCGUGGGGAGCAAACAGGAUUAGAUACCCUGGUAGUCCACGCCCUAAACGGUGGGCAUUAGGUGUAGGGCUCGUAAGGGUUCUGUGCCGAAGGGAAACCAUUAAAUGCCCCGCCUGGGAGUACGGCCGCAAGGUUG
rnacentral:rRNA from 1 species